rnacentral:tRNA from 1 species
ACUUAUGAUUUUAAGUGUGAUUUGAAAUCAUGUUAAUUGCUUUUAAUAGCAACAUAGGUU